GACUUCCUUCCUCUUUUGGCAACAUGGCGGGCGGAGAAGCUGGAGUGACUCUAGGGCAGCCGCAUCUUUCGCGUCAGGAUCUCACCACCUUGGAUGUUACCAAGUUGACGCCACUUUCACACGAAGUUAUCAGCAGGCAAGCCACAAUUAACAUAGCUGGUAAUGAAUCUUGCCCUCAGCCUCAGACAUCUGAACACCUGGCUGCUAUAGAGAUCAUGAAACUGAAGCAUAUUUUGAUUCUACAAAAUAAAAUUGAUUUGGUAAAAGAAAGUCAGGCUAAAGAACAAUACGAGCAGAUCCUUGCAUUUGUCCAAGGUAAGAAGCCAUAAUAUGUAAUAAAUCUAUGAAUCACUUUGAGAGGCAUUUA
rnacentral:sRNA from 1 species